CCUACGGGUGGCAGCAGUGGGGGAUAUUGCACAAUGGGGGGACCCCUGAUGCAGCGACGCCGCGUGGGUGAAGAAGCGCUUCGGCUCGUAAAGCCCUGUCAGCAGGGAAGAACAUGACGGUACCUGAAGAAGAAGCCCCGGCUAACUACGUGCCAGCAGCCGCGGUAAUACGUAGGGGGCAAGCGUUCUCCGGCUUUACUGGGUGUAAAGGGGGCGCAGGCGGCGAUGCAAGCCAGAUGUGAAAGCCCGGGGCCCAACCCCGGGAGUGCUUUUGAAACUGCGUUGCUGGAGUGCAGGAGAGGCAAGCGGAAUUCCUGGUGUAGCGGUGAAAUGCGUAGAUAUCAGGAGGAACACCAGUGGCGAAGGCGGCCUACUGGACUGCAACUGACGUUGAGGCCCGAAAGCGUGGGGAGCAAACAGGAUUAGAUACCCUUGUAGUC
rnacentral:rRNA from 1 species